UUGUGUUUUUGUGUGUUUUUCUGUUGUUUGUU
rnacentral:sRNA from 1 species